GCGGCCAGCUGGCACCGCCCCGUCGGGCGGCCAGCGCAUCCCUGAGGCCGCACCGCGCGGGUGGCCCGGGCGGCGACGACGGGGGCGGGGGGGCGCGGCGGCCUCCCGGAUGCUUGCGGCAGAAGGCGCUGGUGUACCCCUAUCAUGGGCAGCAACCCCUUGGGAAGAGCUGAAGACCAGCCAGGGGAGAGGGAAAAAAAAAAAGCACAGAACACAUGCUGGUUCCAGAUUCCUGGCAAGAAUCAGAGCGCCUGUGCUGUGCUGAAAGCCGGCCCAAGCACAGAGCAGCAGAGGCCACUUGGAGCAGCUGCUGUCGACUUCCGCCUCGCUGGACAGCAUCCCUUCAGAUCCAUCUUUUCAAGAAACUGUGGCCAGGACACUGCUGAUCUGCUUGCUGUCAUCUCUCGUGUGGUUCUUGGGUGUCUCUUCAGAACAUGCUCCGAGGCUCCUCUUACGUUUCCCUGCAAAGAACCCUUGUAAGGGGGCUGCCUACACAUGGCCUGCAUCUCUCGUUUCUACCACUGAGUUAGAGACACCUCCUUGCUCAUUUGGCAACAGCAGCAGCAGAAGUUGGAAUCUGUGCCACCUGGGACGUACCUGAGCCGGAGCCGAAGCAUGUGGUACUCUCAGUACGGGAACGAGGCCAUCCUUGUCCGGGACAGAAACAAGCUGGAGGUCUCCCGGGACACGGGCCAGUCCAAGUUUUGCUCUGUUAUGUAACUUCUGGUGUGAAAAGCGAGCCCAGGCGCCGCCCUGUCUCCACCUCCAGCCCUUGCCCGGAGGUCCUGGCUGUGAACGUGAAGGCUGAGCUGCAGCGGAAGGACCCCAGGAUGCCAGGGAUGGCGCCCCAGCCCAUUUGCAGUCGGGGUGACUGGUGGACUUGGCUUCUGGCCUCCAUUUUGAGCUUCCGGGCGCUGCGGGCACAGCCCAGGCUGGGGCACGACGGGAUGCCACUCUGCUUAUGCUUCCAAAUAAAGCAAGCAAGAGGGACGUCCA
rnacentral:lncRNA from 1 species